rnacentral:lncRNA from 1 species
GGAUUGCGACGGGUGCCAAAAAACCGCUGCAGUUCUCUCUUUGCGACACUUCCUACGACGGUGCUAAACAACCGCCGCUGCAUUUCUAAGCAAAACCAAGAGGCGCUAGUUUUUUUCCAAUCCUGCGUCCCAUUUUUUGCAAGUCCCGCUCUCUAAAAUUCUUCUCAUAUCUCUGUGACCCUUUUCUCCCAAAACCAAAAACCCCUUUCUCCCAAAUUUGUUUCCCUCAAAAUUCUCAAACCCCUCGAUCUCCCUAUGCGGAAGUUUGAUCUCUCCAUAUCUGGAAUUGAAGCAAUUUCUCUUCUAUGCGGUAAGCUUCAUGACAUUUAUCUUUUAAUGCUUGGUGUUGGUUGAUAGUGAAUCUCAUUAGCUGGGCAUUUUAUUUGUGUUCUUGUAUACAAUAUGAUUUUCUUCGUUACAAAGGGUUUGCAACACCUAACUUACAAGAAAUUUUAUUCAAAACCGUGAUUUCCAAAGUCUCGGUGUUUUGAUUUGCUUCCCUCAAAUCUCUCAAAUCCCUAAAACUUCAAUCUCCCCCAAAUAUCCUUGCUUUCACAAUUUCACUUUUAUCUCUUACUAGCUUUCCAUUCAAUCUCCGUUUGUUGCAACUUAUGGUACGAUUUCCUUUUCGUUGUUAGGGUUUUGAUUACACUGUUCUAAGGGUGCUGAUUUUUUGCUUUGAAUGCCAUUUCUGUGAAACAGGAGGAGAAUGGCCGCAUGUAGUGUUACCGAACGACGAGGUACUUUCAGUUUUCUG